UACGUAGGGUGCAAGCGUUUGUCCGGAAUUAUUGGGCGUAAAGAGCUCGUAGGCGGUUUGUCGCGUUGGCUGUGAAAACUCGGGGCUCAACCCCGAGCCUGCAGUCGAUACGGGCAGACUAGAGUGCUGUAGGGGAGACUGGAAUUCCUGGUGUAGCGGUGAAAUGCGCAGAUAUCAGGAGGAACACCGGUGGCGAAGGCGGGUCUCUGGGCAGUGACUGACGCUGAGGAGCGAAAGCGUGGGGAGCGAACAGG
rnacentral:rRNA from 1 species